GCAUGUUCAUGCAUCAUGUUUAUAUGUAAUACGUUGAUUGCACUAGUUACACGAAUAUGACGCAUUGCAUUAUUUACUGUUGAUGUGGAUGGACCAAGGCGACCCCAAUAGCCCUAGCUAUGUUAUGUUAAUGAAGUCCUGAGGAGCCCCUUGAGGGCCGGGCAUAAUGAAGACCUGAGGAGCCCGAAGGGCCGGGCACCAUGUUAUGUUACAGUCAGAGGGAGUUUUGGUGGUCAUGUCCAAUCCAUUAUGUGAAUUGUUUGUGCUGUGACGCAUUUCAUAAGAGCAUGUAAUUAAUGAACUGUUUUCCCUGUUUCUACUCACUGGGCUUUUUAGCUCACCCCUCUCCCCUAACCCCAGUGUUGCAUGUAUAAGGUCGCUCGGGAAGUCUCAAGAGUUAAGGUUGUGCUUAUGUAAUAGAUUAGAGUUGUGUGGACAUGUAAUGUAAAUUGAGAUAAUGGAUUGUAAGAUAAUGAAAUGUAAUGUAAUGCAAGUAAAGUAGAGUUAUGUUUAUGGAUUAAAACUGUGCUUGGCCCUAAGACUUGGUUAGUCCCUGUUUAGUACAUGAUGUAUGUUUUGGUUUAAUGUUGAGUUGAGUUGAACCAAACUAGUGGCAUGUAUUGUUUGCCACGCUAAAGUUUGAUGAGGACCCUAGUGGAGGUCUUAUGUCUGUGGUUUGAUGCAUGUACAGGUUAUGUUCUAGUUCUUUGGAUUUGACUCCGGCUUGAUGUAUGUUAUGUUGACCCAGCUAGAGUGUUGAUGAGGGCUCUAGUAGGGGGUUUCUUUAUGUUUUCAGUUAUGUUGCAUACAGGUCAAGCUCGGUAUUUACAUCAGAUGUUUAAGUUUUUAUGUUAAUGUUUUGAUCAUGUAUGGGAUUUGACCAGGUAAUAGGAUGUAUGUUUGGCUUGCUACGGGUCCCGGCGGCCUUAAGCCGAUCUGGAUCCUAGCACCGAUAGCGGUUCGGGCCGUUACAGAGUGGUAUCAGAGCUUUGGGCCUCAUUAGCACAGUGUGUUGAGCAAAGAUGCUCAAGGAUUAGAGAUAUCCCACAUCGGAACGAGGUUGGUUUAGAGGUCAUAGAAGGGCAAGCACAAUAGGAAGAAUCAUGUCCACUAGGAUAGGAUGUGGAGUCCUAUCUUGAAUGAUGAUAUGAAAUGCCAUGAUUUUAUGCAUGUGCAUUAAUGUUAUGUAUGAUAUGCUAUGUAUGCUAUGUAUGUUGCAGGUUCAUGUGUUUUCAUAUGAACCGUAUGAUGCUAAUGAUUGCUUAUAUGCUUGUGUGUUGUUCUUCAGAGGGGCCAGAAUGCGAGGCUUUCGUCGAUCUGUGGAAUCGACUGGAGUUCCAUCUGAGAGGAAAGGUAUGGACACCUUUCCCCCUGCUCUGCCAAGAGCGCAGUCGUGGGGAGUCAGCAGAUGGGGAACAUCGAGGGACCCUGGAAGGUCUUUUGAUGCAAGCAGAGAAGGAAUGGCUCCAAGAAGGAUGUCAGCUAGUAUGAGGGAAGUAGAGAUGGAUGUUCAGAGAAGAGAUUUCAGUUUGGGAAUCAGAGUGCCAGAAGAAGGUAUGGGAGUUUUUCAGGAGGAUGCUCAGACUCAGGAUUCCAGAAUUUCAAGUUUAGGAGGGAUUGAUCCCUCCACUUUGAGUACAGCCUCCACGAAAAGCAAGAAGUGGGGCAGAACCCUGAGGGGGAAGAAGAAGAAGUUUUGGAAGAAUUUGAAGGCUAGUCUGGGUUUUGGUGGCUCAAGCUCUAGCUCAGGCAGUUCAAGAUGCAUGAGGUGUGGAAGGCCGCACAAGGGAGUCUGUCUGAUUGGGACUAAUCUAUGUUUUAGAUGCGGUCAGGAAGGGCACAUGGUACGUGAGUGUCCCAUUGCGCCCUGGUUGGCACAGUCUCAGCGGGCAACUUCAGGUAGAGCGGCUCAGCCAGCAGCUCCAGCCAUGGUUCAGGACAGUGGUCGAGGCAGAGGAAGAGGGCAGCCUUGUCUUCUGAAGGUUCCCGUGGAGAAGGUCCGUCAGCUCCAGCUCGGAUCUUCAUCCAAGCUCAGCAGGAGGCAGACACAUCGAACAUGGUGGUGUCAGGUACGCUCACUUUUGAAUGUUCUGAUGUGCAUGUUUUGUGAACCCUAGAGUUUCUCUUUCUUUAGUUGCUCUAGGAGCCGUCGAGAGGUUGAGUUAAGAGCUUCUGGGCUAGAGUGUUCUCUUUGGGUCAGUGGACCCAAGUGUGAUCCAUCUGUGGCAGAGUCAGUCUGCAGGUCCAGUUCUGUGUCAGUUGAGGGUAGAUGCCUUCCACCCGACUUUGAGGUCCUAGACUUGACUGUCUGGAUGUCAGUUUAGGGUUGGACUGGGUUUUUCUACUCGUAGUGCUAUCUUGGUCUGUAGAGACAAGGUAGUCAGAUUUUGAGGACAGGAUGGGUCAGAGGUAGUCUUCUGAGGGAACACAGUAAGGAUGCCUAGAGGUUUGAUGUCGGCCUGUCAAGUUCGUGGGGUACGUAGGAGGGGUUGUCAGAGGGUUCGAGUUCUUGUUGAGAGUUUAGCAGUCAGGUCGGGGAACCAGCCUCAGUGUUAGUUGUUAGAGAGAGUUCUUAGUUGUUUUCCCAGGCAAGUUGUCAGGUUUACCACCUGUCAGGGAGUUAGAGUUUGGAGUAGGAGUGGUGUCUGGAUCCAGAACCAUUUCUUUCCUUUCCUAUAGGAUGGCGCCUGCGUAGAGAGAGGUAGUAGUCAGAGUAGAGGCGAGACUUGGUAGACAGGGGUUUUAUCCGACCUAGUACCUCACCCUGGAUUGUUCCAGUGUGGUGGUGGGAAAAGAAGGAUGAAUCCUUGAGACCUUGUAACGACUGUAAGCAGUUGGCCAAGGUCACUGCCGAGGGCAGGUAUUCCCAUGCAGGAUGGAUGAUCUAUUGGGACAGCUAGUAGGAGCUGUUUGUUUUUCAAGAUAGAUCUGAAAUCCGGGUACUACCUGUGAGAGUUAGAGUUAGUUUUGGGUUAGCAGUGAGAAGAAGCCAGUUAGUAAAGGUGAAGAGAAAAAGAGUAAGGAUCAGAGCAGCGCAGUGGAAGCGUGUUGUGUUUCAGGAGAAGGUUGGGUAUUGCUAAGGUGUUUCUUUUGGAAAAAGGUGUGCCUGGGAGACCCGGGAGUUCUUGCUCCAGCAGUACCUGUGUCUCUCUUUAGAGAGAGGUUUUAGGUUUUGCUUGCUUGUUGCUUGUUUAUGUAUGCUUGAUGUUAUGUUUUGAGAUUGCCUGUUUGUUUAUGGAACAUUCGGGGAUGAAUGUUCUUAAAGGGGGGAAGAAUGUAAUACCCGGCGAGAUUUCGGCAUCGGAAUCCCUACCUUCCGGCGGAAUCUCCGUUGGAAUCGGGAAUUCUGAAGAUGCCAGAGGCUUCUAGAGGGGUAAAAUGUGUUUUCUAAAAUGUUUUUACUGAUUUCAUGGUUUUAAAUGGAAAAGAAUUGAGUUUUUAAAAGAAAAGACCAAGGAGGCAUUUGCUAGGUUCGGCCGCCGAAAGUGAAGUUCGGGCGCCGAACAUGGAAAGGUUUUGGGAGCGCUUUUGGCCUCCGAAAUCUUUGUUUGAGCGAGCCAAGGUUCGGCCGCCGAACCUCAAGUUCGACCGCCGAACAUGCAUGAGUUUAGGGGGCACGUUAGGCUGCCGAAGGUCUUUGACCAGGCCACCUAUAAAGAGCCCUCAGAUCAGAAAUGGGCGAGUUUUCUCCCCAUUCUCGAGCUUAGGUGAGUCUUUGCCUUCCUUUGGUCAUUUUCAUGUUUUCUCUACCCAUCCCUCAAGUUUUUCAUGAUUUCUACCCUUGUUUUUAAGAUUUGAAGCUUAAGUAGGAGUUUUGGGAGCUUGGAGAUUGUUGGAGCUUGGAUCCUCCACACCUCCGAGUUAGGGAUCGCACCACCCCUCGAUCUUCAAGAGGUAAGUGUAGAUCUUUGCUUCCUUUGUGUUUUAAUGAAGUUUUAAGUAAGUUUAUUGGAGUUUUAAUGGUUGAGUAUGGGUAGAUGUGCAUGUUUAAGUUUAUGUGGGUUUUAUGCCCAAUGUAUGUUAAUGUAUGCUUAUGCCUAUUUAUGUGAUGUUAUGUUGAAGGUUUAAGCUAGUUUAUGCAUGUGGGAGAGUGUAUGCAUGAUUGGGAAAGAGCAAGUGAGGUUUUGAGUAGUUUUGAUGGUUUUGGCUUAUGUGGGUCAUAAGCUAUUUAUGUAUGCUUUGGGAUGUUCUUUGUUGGAGUUUAAGCUUGUUUAAACUCCUUUGUGCAUGGUUAAGGGUUUAUGCAUGUUUUGGUAAGGUUGGGUGCUUGUUUUGGGGUGUUUGGAAGGUUUGGGAGGCUUGAAUGCAUAAGAGGCUGAGUUCUGGACGAACUCAGGUUCGGCCGCCGAAGGUAGUUUCGGCCGCCGAACCUGCCUAUGGAUGCAUGGUUUGGCCGCCUAACCUUGCCCCCGAAAGUUGAGUUUUGGCUUGAAAGCAGACUUUCGGCCGCCGAAAGUGCCUGACUUUCGUCUCUGGAGAGGGACUUUCGGCCGCCGAAAGUGCCCGAGUUUCGUCUCUGGAGAGAAAGUUCGGCCGCCGAAGGUGCCGCCGAAAGUGCCCUGUCCAGCCUUUUCAUGGGUGUUUUCUAUGCAUGUUUAAGUGAUGUUUUAGGGGGUUUUUGGGUAGUUGUUUAUGAGUUGUUUAGAGUGUGUUUGGCACCUCAUUCGAGUCCACCUGUGUAGGAUCGGACCCGAGGGAUCGAGGAGGCCAUCAGUGUUAGCAGUUGCAGAGUCAGUUCAGCGUCUGCCAGAGGUGAGUAGAACUAAACUUAAUUUUAUUUUACGAAAUUCAAAUGCCUAAAGCAUGUUCAUGCAUCAUGUUUAUAUGUAAUAGGUUGAUUGCACUAGUUACACGAAUAUGACGCAUUGCAUUAUUUACUGUUGAUGUGGAUGGACCAAAGUGACCCCAAUAGCCCUAGCUAUGUUAUGUUAAUGAAGUCCUGAGGAGCCCCUUGAGGGCCGGACAUAAUGAAGACCUGAGGAGCCCGAAGGGCCGGGCACCAUGUUAUGUUACAGUCAGAGGGAGUUUUGGUGGUCAUGUCCAAUCCGUUAUGUGAAUUGUUUGUGCUGUGACGCAUUUCAUAAGAGCAUGUAAUUAAUGAACUGUUUUCCCUGUUUCUACUCACUGGGCUUUUUAGCUCACCCCUCUCCCCUAACCCCAGUGUUGCAGGUAUGAGGUCGCUCGGGAAGUCUCAAGAGUUAAGGU
rnacentral:lncRNA from 1 species